UGGGGAAUAUUGCACAAUGGGCGAAAGCCUGAUGCAGCAACGCCGCGUGAGUGAUGAAGGUCUUCGGAUUGUAAAGCUCCGUCUUUUGGGACGAUAAUGACGGUACCAAAGGAGGAAGCCACGGCUAACUACGUGCCAGCAGCCGCGGUAAUACGUAGGUGGCGAGCGUUGUCCGGAUUUACUGGGCGUAAAGGGUGCGUAGGCGGAUGUUUAAGUGAGAUGUGAAAUACCCGGGCUUAACUUGGGUGCUGCAUUUCAAACUGGAUAUCUAGAGUGCAGGAGAGGAGAAUGGAAUUCCUAGUGUAGCGGUGAAAUGCGUAGAGAUUAGGAAGAACACCAGUGGCGAAGGCGAUUCUCUGGACUGUAACUGACGCUGAGGCACGAAAGCGUGGGUAGCAAACAGGAUUAGAUACCCUGGUAGUCCACGCCGUAAACCAUGAGUACUAGGUGUAGGAGGUAUCGACCCCUUCUGUGCCGCAGUAAACACAU
rnacentral:rRNA from 1 species